rnacentral:rRNA from 1 species
AACGUAGGAGGCGAGCGUUAUCCGGAUUUACUGGGCGUAAAGGGCAAGUAGGCGGUGGUUCAAGUUGGGCGUGACAGAUCCUGGCUUAACUGGGAGAGGUCGUUCAAAACUGGAUCACUAGAGGGCAGGAGAGGGGAGCGGAAUUCCUAGUGUAGCGGUGGAAUGCUCAGAUAUUAGGAAGAACACCAGUGGCGAAAGCGGCUUUCUGGCCUGCACCUGACGCUGAAGGGCGAAAGCUAGGGGAGCGAACGGG